rnacentral:rRNA from 1 species
UACAGAGACUGCAAGCGUUGUUCGGAUUCACUGGGCGCAAAGGGUGCGCAGGCGGUCGGGUGUGUCAGAUGUGAAAUCCCGAGGCUCAACCUCGGAACUGCGUCUGAAACUACUCGACUAGAGUACUGGAGAGGGUAACGGAAUUCACGGUGUAGCAGUGAAAUGCGUAGAGAUCGUAAGGAAGACCAGUGGCGAAGGCGGGUCUCUGGACAGUUCCUGACACUGAGGCACGAAGGCCAGGGGAGCAAACGGG